UACGUAGGGUGCAAGCGUUGUCCGGAAUUAUUGGGCGUAAAGAGCGCGUAGGCGGUCCGGUAAGUCGGUUGUGAAAGUCGGGGGGCUCAACCCUCGGAUGCCGAUCGAUACUGUCGGGCUAGAGUCCGGAAGAGGCGAGUGGAAUUCCUGGUGUAGCGGUGAAAUGCGCAGAUAUCAGGAGGAACACCAAUGGCGAAGGCAGCUCGCUGGGACGGUACUGACGCUGAGACGCGAAAAGCGUGGGGGAGCGAACAGG
rnacentral:rRNA from 1 species